GGUUUCCGCAUCACCAGGUCAUAUAUAACCGCAGAAGCUGCGCCGUCGAAGUAUCGUUUGCGUUUCGGAGAUUUGUCGACGCGGAUAGAGCAGAGAAGAGAAGAGCAGAGCGACAGAAUACCGACGCUCUGAUCAGAAUGAGGGCGAAGUGGAAGAAGAAGCGUAUGAGGAGGCUUAAGAGGAAGCGCCGAAAGAUGAGGCAGAGGUCAAAGUAGUUUCAUGUUGUGUGAAGCACCAUUGGCCUUGAUUUGCCUUCAUCUUGUCUACCUGAUAGAACAUAUCAUAUAAAGGCUGUCAGAGUGGAUGAGGGGCUUUUUGAUCCAUUUGAUAUUAGGUUAGUUGUUGGAUAUCAGACUUUCUUUGAGUUUUACACAAGUAGCCAUGUUGUUUGACUUUAAUGAAAUGCAUUCAUAUGCUUAGACAUCUUGCUUGGAGAAUGUUUUAAGUACCUAUGAAGCAGUGAUUUUGCCUUCA